CCGAUUUUGGGGGUAUUUGUGUGCGUACAUUGUCAGAAAAACACAUUUCAAAUGAUUUUUUCCGAUUUUCUGAUCGCCUUGAUAUCUGCAAAAGAGACUUUUUAAGAACGUUAAUUAUAAUUCUAACGAAAAAUCGUAGCUUCUUUAUCAUUGUAUGUAACAGAUUAUCUACAAACUAAAUUCAAUCAGCGUACAGGAGGUUCAUGUCUAUCCUGUUACCGCUACUUAAAUCAGUCGUUAAAUUAUUCUCCCUAUGAAUAUUGAAUCAGUCAGUGUUGAUUUCAAAAAUGCAAAGUAAUCUUUACAUUUAAAACGCCUCGUUUCUUGAACGACAGUGUAGAGAAAAGAAAUUUCAAGACAUUUAGUGAAAAAAAUAGAGCGUACUUUUUUUCAUGUCUAUGCUGUUACCGACCAUUUUGAUUAAUUACACUAACAGUAUGGUUGUAAAAAGUGCAAUAACGUGUUGGAAACCAAAUUCACAAUAGAAAACCAUAAUCACUUCACCAAAGGGAGUAGUUAUUUCACAAACAGCAAUCAAAAACGAAGAAAUUUGUCUAUCCUGUUAUGUCUAUCCUGUUACUAUGGUUGCUAUGGUUACAGUAACAGGAUAGACAAUUAUAGACAAACACGUCGUUAAUUUUUUUAUCUUAACAUGUAGGUGGAAAACGAAUGAAAUAUUUCAUUGUUUGAACUCAUCUUAAGGUUAUAACGUCUUAAUCUUCCCAAUUAAGCAUUUGCAGGUGCAAUACUGAUAUCGGUAACAGGAUAGACAAAAAGGUAACAGGA
rnacentral:lncRNA from 1 species